CCUGUUCCAGGAGGUGGGGGCCACCUGGUCAGCUCAUCGGCAGGACAGCCGUGAUGGGAAGGCUCCUGGUGAGCAGCACUGGCUCCCCGCACCCGCGGAGGGAACCAGGGACAAAGUCCAGGCAGACUUCCUGUGCCUCAGCAAUGCAGGGCGGAGUCUGAAGACGACCUGCCAAGUUGGGCGUGUGGACACCUGGGGAGGGGGGGGACGGACACACCUCUUCCUGAGGGGCAGCGCUGGGGACCAGGUGGAUGGUCAGCCGCGGCUCUCAGGUGCACGACAGGAAGGGGCCAGCUGAUUGACAGGUCCUGAGUGUCUGUCGCUCUAAAUCCACAGGAGAAAAGGACAGAAAUGAGGGCUCCCGGGAGACGUUGCUGUGAACACAGGGGAUGCCACCCCACCAAGCGGCUUGCGGCACCCCAGAGCGGGCAGGCAGGGCCCUCAGGUGUGUGCAUCUGAUGGCUGACAGGACAAGAAAGGGCAGAAUUCAGACAAGGCUCCAGCCUGGACCCAGGACUCUGCAAAGUCAGGCCUGAAGAAAGGAGGGGGAGGAUGAGAAACGACCCCCAAGCCAGGAAGCAACCCCAGAUUCCAUAGGGCAAGCCGAAGGAGGGCUGAGGACGCCAAGCAGAGCACACGGGAAGGAAGAGACACCUUGUUGAGGACCACAACCAAGUCAAGAUGGCGCCUGGCGGUUUGCCAGGAGGAGUGGUUUGUGAGGCAACGCCACCGAGCCAUUAAGAUGGUGGGGACUCCUCAUUGGCUGACUGCUGUAUCUGGAUGAUGCUGAGUCAAGCUGGGUGUCAUCGGUUAGGUAUAUAUACCUCUGCUGCCCCGCAAUAAAGCGGUUCCG
rnacentral:lncRNA from 1 species